AUUUUUAUGCCCCCGCCAUAUAAUGGCAGGGGCAUAUAGUGUUACCCUGUUCCGUCAUUCCGUCAUUCCGUCAUUCCGUCAUUCCGUCCUUCCGUCCUUCCGUCAUCAUCAGUUUCCGUUCAUUAUCUUAAUAACCCUUGCACAUAUUGAACUCAAAUUUGACAUAUGGAUAUGUCAUGAGAAAAUACAGGUCAAGUUCGAAAUUGGUCAUGGUUCGAUGAUUUUUGGCAGAGUUAUGCCCCUUUUACUUUGAAAAUAAUAUGAAAUUUUCAGUUUCCGUUCAUUAUCUCCCCAACGGUACAACACAUCCAACUCAAACUUGACAUAUUGAUAUGUCAUGAGAAAAUACAGGUCAAGUUCAAAUUUGGUCAUGGUUCGAUGAUUUUUGGCAGAGUUAUGCCCCUUUUACUUUGAAAAUAAUAUGAAAUUUCUAGUUUCCAUUCAUUAACUCCCUAAUGGUACAACACAUUCAACUCAAACUUGACAUAUGGAUACAUCAAAGGAAUGCGCAGGUCAAGUUCAAAUUUGGUCAUGGUUCAAUGAUUUUUGGCAGAGUUAUGCCCCUUUCACUUUGAAAAUGAUAUGAAAUUUUCAGUUUCCGUUCAUUAUCUCCCCAAUCGUACAACACAUUUAGCUCAAACUUGACAUAUCGAUACGUCAAAGGAAUGCGCAGGCCAAGUUUAAAUUUGGUCAUGGUUCGAUGAUUUUUGGCAGAGUUAUGCCCCUUUUACUUUGAAAAUAAUAUGAAAAUUUCAGUUUCUGUUUAUUAUCUCCCCAACAGUAUUAAACAUUCAACUCAAAUUUGACAUAUUGAUACGUCAAAGGAAUGCGCAGGUGAAUUUCAAAUUUGGUCAUGGUUCGAUGAUUUUUGGCAGAGUUAUGCCCCUUUCACUUUAAAAAUAAUAUGAAAUUUUCAGUUUCCGUUUAUUAUCUCCCCAACAAUAUUACACAUUCAACUCAAAUUUGACAUAUGGAUAUGUUUUUGGAAUGCGCAGACCAAGUUCGAAUCUGGUCAUGGUGCAAUGAUUUUUGGCAGAGUAAUGCCCCUUUCACUUUGAAAAUGAUAUGAAAUUUACAGUUUCUGUUCAUUAUCAACCCAACAGUGUUACAUAUUCAACUCAAAAUUGACAUAUGGAUAUGUCAAAGGAAUACGCAGGUCAAGUUAGGAUUUGGUCAUGGUUCGAUGAUUUUUUGGCAGAGUUAUGUCCCUUUCAUUUGAAAAUAAUAUAGAUACAUCUUAGGAAUAAGCAGUUUAAGUUUGAAUUUGGUCGUGGUUCAAUGAUUUUAGACAAACUUAUCUUUCCUGAAUGUUGGAAAAAUUUUGAACUUUCAGUUUCAGCACUCAUACUUUUGUGGAAAUGUAUAUAGCCAUUAUGUUGGCUACAAAUAUGCAAUAUGCUAUUUUUAAAAGGUUAAGACUGAUUAAUUUCAGUGCCUUGAACAUUGUAUAAAAAUGGUUAAGACUGAAUAAUUUCAGUGCCUUGAACAUUGUAUAAAAAUGGUUUGUGUUAACAUUGAAAAGUUUUAAGGGCUUUGAACUUAGAAUGAAAAAAAUAAUUUGUGCAAACAAAUUUGGAACUAAAUAUUAUAACAUUUGAAAUUUUGGCUGCAUGCGGGGGCAUCCGUGGCAUGAUGACACAUUUCUAGUUUUUAUA